AUUGAACGCUGGCGGCAUGCUUUACACAUGCAAGUCGAACGGCAGCACAGGGAGUUUGCUCCUGGGUGGCGAGUGGCGAACGGGUGAGUAAUGUAUCGGAACGUGCCUGGUAGUGGGGGAUAACUACUCGAAAGAGUGGCUAAUACCGCAUGAGAUCUUUGGAUGAAAGCGGGGGACCUUCGGGCCUCGUGCUACUGGAGCGGCCGAUAUCAGAUUAGGUUGUUGGUGGGGUAAAGGCCUACCAAGCCUGCGAUCUGUAGCUGGUCUGAGAGGACGACCAGCCACACUGGGACUGAGACACGGCCCAGACUCCUACGGGAGGCAGCAGUGGGGAAUUUUGGACAAUGGGCGCAAGCCUGAUCCAGCAAUGCCGCGUGCAGGACGAAGGCCUUCGGGUUGUAAACUGCUUUUGUACAGAACGAAAAGUCUCUGGCUAAUAUCUAGAGAUCAUGACGGUACUGUAAGAAUAAGCACCGGCUAACUACGUG
rnacentral:rRNA from 1 species